rnacentral:misc_RNA from 1 species
UUGAAUGUUUUCUAGCAGGAGGCACUUGACCAGAUUCUUUAUUUGGUGUUGGUGUAAAAACUCUACUGGAGUUACCAUGUGAAGUUCUAUCAAAUGACUUCUCAGGCUGUUUGUUUUGUGCUGGAGGUGCCUGGCUGCUGGUCUUCCAUGUAGGUUCAUACUUUCUUGGCCCCCUCCCCCUCACACCUAUAGGUGCCUGGUUCUGAUUGUUCCCAUUGCUGAAUGUCUUUGAUUUGUUCCUUCGUGCAAAUACACGGUCUGGAGCUCGAAUUUUCCCACCACGACCUCGAAAAUUACCUUUAGAACCCCUCCUUCCCUGUUCAUAACGCCUUUCCGGCAAAUUCAUCUCCUCAAACUUGUCAUGCCCCCAUUUCUUGUCGUCUUUGGACUCCCACAACUUCCUUCCACCAUAUGUUCGCCUGUGUCGACCACCAGCAUUGUCCCUAAACCGAUCGUCAUGCAUGUAAAAAGCCCCAGCAGUGGGUACUGCAAACGGUUCAUUCUCCUUUUUCCCCUCUUCGUCCUCCUCGUCUUCCUCCACAUGAUUCUCCACAGCUUUUAUCUCUAACCCCUCCUCCACCUUCCUUCCCUCUACUUCCUUUUCCUUACCCUCCACUCCACCAUCACCUCCUCCUCUCCUCUCAUUUCCUUCUUUCCCUUCCUCAAACCCAUCAAUUUCAUCUUCCUCUUCCUC